GUUAAAAACAGGGAUUUCUAUGAAAAUAAGCGAUAUUUUAGGGGAAAAACAAGGAUUUCUGUGAAAAUAAGCGAUAUUUCAGGGUUAAAAACAGGGAUUUCUAUGAAAAUAAGCGAUAUUUUAGGGGAAAAACAAGGAUUUCUGUGAAAAUAAGCGAUAUUUCAGGGUUAAAAACAGGGAUUUCUAUGAAAAUAAGCGAUAUUUUAGG